UGGCGGCAGGCCUAACACAUGCAAGUCGAGCGGUAGCACAGAGAGCUUGCUCUCGGGUGACGAGCGGCGGACGGGUGAGUAAUGUCUGGGAAACUGCCUGAUGGAGGGGGAUAACUACUGGAAACGGUAGCUAAUACCGCAUAAUGUCGCAAGACCAAAGUGGGGGACCUUCGGGCCUCAUGCCAUCAGAUGUGCCCAGAUGGGAUUAGCUAGUAGGUGGGGUAACGGCUCACCUAGGCGACGAUCCCUAGCUGGUCUGAGAGGAUGACCAGCCACACUGGAACUGAGACACGGUCCAGACUCCUACGGGAGGCAGCAGUGGGGAAUAUUGCACAAUGGGCGCAAGCCUGAUGCAGCCAUGCCGCGUGUGUGAAGAAGGCCUUCGGGUUGUAAAGCACUUUCAGCGGGGAGGAAGGCGAUAAGGUUAAUAACCUUGUCGAUUGACGUUACCCGCAGAAGAAGCACCGGCUAACUCCGUGCCAGCAGCCGCGGUAAUACGGAGGGUGCAAGCGUUAAUCGGAAUUACUGGGCGUAAAGCGCACGCAGGCGGUCUGUCAAGUCGGAUGUGAAAUCCCCGGGCUCAACCUGGGAACUGCAUUCGAAACUGGCAGGCUAGAGUCUUGUAGAGGGGGGUAGAAUUCCAGGUGUAGCGGUGAAAUGCGUAGAGAUCUGGAGGAAUACCGGUGGCGAAGGCGGCCCCCUGGACAAAGACUGAC
rnacentral:rRNA from 1 species